CUCGGCGGCUGAGGCGACCCAGCCCGCCCGGGGCCUCGCCGGCAGGCCGGGCCGCCGCGCCCCGCUCUAGCUCGGGCCGAAGCGGGACAGGCGGAGCGGCAGGGCAUGGACCUGCGGGCCUAAAGGCGGCAGCGGCGGGGCGGCCGCCCUUCCCGACCCCCCUGCGGGCGAGCCGGCGGGCGGGGGGUCGGGGCGGGCCGGCAGCGGGACAUGGGCCUCUGCGCGGCGGCCCUGAGGACAGCGACAGCCGGCGGGGCCCGCCGCCCGCCCCCCGCGGGGGAGAGGCCGUGAAGAGCGGUGGGGAGGGGGCACCCCGCGGCCGGCGGGCACCCCCUCCUACUGAGAGCCGGCCGCGGAGGGGGGCGAGCGGCCCCAGGGAGCCCCGCCAGCAGCCGGCCCCGGUUUUGCCUGCUGGCCUGCCGCCUGCGCGGACAGCCGGGCUUCCCCUCCGCCCCGAAACUCCGGACCGGUGAGGAUUGGCUGCUUCGGAAGACUUUUUGGCAAGCGUUACUUUUCUCCUCUUCCUUGGGGGAACGGUUUGUUUUGGUUUUUUGUUUUUGGUUGUUUUUUUCUUGAACAUCCCCCACACCCUACUUCCGUGGCCUGGAUAUUCAGGGUGACUGCAAGAAGAGUUUUGGAAAUCUUUUUUCCUGCCCUUGAACUGAAUUUGUCCUCUGUGCAUGCCUCUUCUGGAGCAAGGCUGGAUCCUGAACCUCAGUGCAUGUGGGGGGCAAAGCCUCAUUAAUAUUCCUGCAGUAAUAGUAAAAUGUAAAUUGGAUAAUACGACUUCUUGCCAAAGGCUCCAAUGAGUGGCACACAGUCCACAAUCACGGACAGGUUUCCUCUCAAAAAACCUACAAGACACGGCAGCAUUCUGAGCAGAGAGUCUCCAGCUGACAAGAAACAGAAGGUUGAACGCUGCAGUAGUACGCACGACUUUGAUCCGACAGAUAGCUCCUCCAAGAAGACAAAGUCUAGUUCGGAGGAGAGUAGAUCCGAGACGUAUGGUCUUGUUCAACGGUGUGUUGUUAUCCAACGGGAUGAGAACGGAUUUGGGCUGACAGUCAGUGGAGACAAUCCAGUCUUCGUGCAGUCUGUCAAAGAAGAUGGAGCAGCCAUGCGGGCUGGAGUGCAAACAGGUGAUAGAAUUAUCAAGGUGAAUGGCACUCUUGUAACACAUUCAAACCAUUUGGAGGUGGUAAAGCUGAUCAAGUCGGGUUCCUAUGUAGCUCUCACUGUGCAGGGGCGCCCACCAGGGUCGCCCCAGAUUCCAUUAGCUGAUUCUGAAGUAGAUCUGGCAGCAUUUGGGCAUAUGUCUCCCGUCAUGACAUCUCCUCAUUCACCUGGCACAUCAGGAAAUGCAGAAAGGAUAACUAGCCCAGUGCUUGUCGGGGAGGAGAAUAAUAUUGUCCACAACCAGAAGGUGGAGAUUCUGAGAAAGAUGCUACAGAAGGAGCAGGAGCGGCUGCAGUCUCUGCAAGAAGAGUAUAGCCGAUCACCCACCACGCGACUGCUCAAAGAGAUACAGGAAACGAAGAAACACAUUCCUCAGCUGCAAGAGCAGUUGUCCAAAGCCACAGGCUGUGCUCAGGAUGGAGUCUUGUCCUCCAGGUCUGCAACGGAAUCGCUGCAGAUCAAUGAAGUGGAGGCAGAGAGUGGGGAUGGUGUGAGCAAACUGGAUUACAGUGGUGACAGCCCCUCUCGACCAAGCAGUGACAUUGCUGAUAGUCCUCGUAGUGGCUUGAAGGAGCGGAUUUAUCCAGAUGAGAGCCCGGAAAAGACUGAGGUUCAGGAUACUGAUUCGCAAUCCAGUGUUGGAAGUCCUUUAUCCCGCGUGGGGCCUCAGAUCAUUGGAGCAGAGGAUGAUGACUUUGACACUGAACAGGAGCAGAUUAAUGGACAGUGCAGCUGUUUCCAAAACAUUGAGCUCCUGAAAUCUCGCCCAGCACACCUGGCUGUUCUUCUGCAUCAUGUGGUGUCCCAGUUUGACCCUGCAGCAUUGUUGUGCUACCUUUACACAGACUUGUACAAGCAGACCAACUCCAAAGAGACGCGGCGUGUCUUCCUUGAGUUUUACCAGUUCUUCUUGGACCGAGCUGCAAAUCUAAAAGUUCCAGUUCCAGAUGAAAUCUCCUUAGAACUAGAAAGAAGGCGGCCAGAACUCCUUCCUGAAGAGCUUCAUCGCCAGUUCAUACAAACUAUGCAAGAUAAAGUCUGUCCAGAAGUUCAAAGAAAUCUGGAAGACUUCAGGCAGAAACGAAGUAUGGGAUUGACCCUUGCAGAAGGAGAGCUAACCAAGCUGGAUGCAGAAAGAGUUCGUGACCGGAAUGCAGUGGAGAAGGAAAGAGCAUGUGCAGAACAGAUUAUUACUAAAAUUGAGGAAGUCUUGAUGACAUCUCAGCCUUUGGAAGAAGACAAGAGUUCCACAAUGCAGUAUGUGAUUCUUACUUACAUGAAACACCUGGGAGUCAAAGUUAAAGAACCUCGGAACCUGGAGCAGAAGCGUGGUCGCAUUGGUUUCUUGCCGAAGAUCAAGGUACAAAGUAUCAAGAAAGAGAAAGAAGGAGAAGAAAAAGGAAAGAGAAGAGGCUUUCCUAAUAUUCUUGGCCCACCAAGGAGACCGAGUCGACAUGAUAGCAGUGCAAUUGGCAGAGCCAUGGAAAUGCAGAAGCCCCGACAUCCAAAGCACUUACCUACAGCAUCUUCUGUUAGCCCAGAGCCACCAGAUUCUAGCAAGAUGCGCCAGAGUGGGUCCUCCAGUGAUGGAACAGAUGCGCCAUACCCUCCUGCCAACCCAAUGUCUCCUUUGGCAAUGGGUCCCUUUUCCUCUCCAGAAGGAAGCAAAGACAGUGAAACAGGUUUGAAGCAGACUGGAGAAGCUCCACCUGCUAAUGACUGUAUGGAUGGCACACCCCGCACACCUAAUAAUACCUUUGAAUUCCCAUCUCCUUUGGAAAACUUGCAGGAGGAAGAAGGAGAAUCAGAGAGGGUGGUUGACAUGGGAACACCAAAGCCUUUUCGCAAAAUGGACAGUGUUGGUUUCGCAGAUGUACAAAGUGAGGACGAGCUAUAUGAUUUUGACAUGGACAUGGACCCCCCCAACUGGCAACAACUUGUGAGCCGGGAAGUGUUGAUGGGGCUGAAACCCUAUGAAAUCAAGCGCCAAGAAGUGAUUAAUGAAUUGUUUUACACUGAGAGAGCUCAUGUCCGCACGCUGAAGGUUCUGCAUAAUGUCUUCUACCAGCGUGUCACCCGGGAAGGGAUCCUGAACUCCAGUGACAAACGGAAAAUCUUUUCCAAUCUGGAGGAUAUCCUUGGGCUUCAUGUUGCAUUGAAUGAUCAGAUGAAAGCAGUCCGAAAAAGGAACGAGACUUCUGUUAUUGGCCAAAUUGGGGAAGACUUGCUUUCCUGGUUUAGCGGACCAGCAGAGGAGAAGCUGAAACAUGCAACUGCCACUUUCUGCAGUAACCAGCCCUUUGCUCUAGAGGUCAUCAAGUCCCGCCAGAAGAAGGACUCUCGCUUCCAGACCUUUGUGCAGGAUGCUGAGAGUAAUCCACUGUGUCGCCGGUUGCAGCUGAAGGAUAUCAUUCCCACAGAGAUGCAGAGGUUGACUAAGUACCCCCUUCUGCUGGAUAACAUUGCUAAGUACACAGAACUGCCUGAAGAGAAAGAGAAAGUGAAGAAAGCAGCAGAUCAUUGUCGUCAGAUCCUUAACCACGUGAACCAGGCAGUCAAAGAGUCUGAGAACAAGCAGCAUUUGGAAGACUAUCAGCGUCGUCUUGACCUGUCCUACUUGAAGCAGUCUGAGGAUCCCAUGAUGGAUGAGUUCAGGAACUUGGAUCUAACAAAGAGAAAAAUGCUUCAUGAAGGACCUCUAACUUGGAAGGUUAAUCGUGACAAAACUAUCGACCUCUACACUCUGCUUCUAGAGGACAUUCUGGUGCUGUUGCAGAAACAAGAUGAUAAACUGGUAUUGAAGUGUCACAGUAAAAUCUUGGCAUCGACAGCUGAUAGUAAACACACCUUCAGUCCUAUCAUCAAAUUGAACACCGUUCUGGUUCGUCAGGUGGCAACAGAUAACAAAGCUUUCUUCGUCAUCUCCAUGUCAGAAAAUGGCGCUCAUAUUUAUGAGCUGGUGGCACAGACUGUUUCAGAAAAGAAUGUAUGGCAGGACCUUAUAGCUCAGAUGGCAGGAACUGUAAAAAUGGGGAGUACCAGAAGAGUGAUUCCAUUACCACAGUCAGGACCUGGCGAAGAAGAGCGUGAAGAAGAGGAGCAGCAGAAGCUCAAAGAGCAGCAUGACAUUCCUGCCAGUAGUCUACAAAGUCCAGAUAAGGAUUUGGGCCUCGAGUCUCCUUUAAUACUGAGUGCUCAGUCUUCUUCACCCAUCAUGUCUGAAAAGUCCAAGGUAGAAAGUCUUCUUGUGUCAGAAAGACAGUUUGAUAAAGUGCAGCAGGCAGACCUGACACUGAAAGAUUCUUCUGCAUGCUAUGAACACACAACCACCAGUUUGCCUUCCGUAUCAGAAGGACAGUGGGCAUUGGAUGCAUUAAGGAACUUGGGCUUGCUGAAACAAUUGUUGGUACAGCAACUUGGCUUUUCCGAGAAGGGGACCUUUGAAGGCCGGCAGCGCUUUCCUAGGUUUAGAACCGUUUCUCAAGAAGCCCAAACAGAGAGUGGAAGUGAGCCUGGACUACAGCACUCUGACAAUAACAAACUUCACCAGCCUGGAACAGACAGAACACUUCCGAGAACCGGAACUAAUGAGUCCACAGCUAGUUAUGGCCUCCGGACUUCAUCUGAAUCGCCAGCUUCAGGGGAUGCCAUGCAGCUGGUUAUGAGAGACCCCAGAUCAAGUAGUAACUUAGCAAUAGACCGCAUGAGUAUGAAUCUGGAGAUUUCAACUGCAGAGCUGGAAGGGGUGGGUGCUGAUGAUAGUGGGGAGCAUUUUUUUGACGCUCGAGAAGCUCACAGUGAUGAAAAUCCAUCUGAAAGUGAACUAAUGGAAAGGAAGGAGGAAGAGGAUGUACAAAUACGGAUCUCAGGAAAUUAUUUGAUCCUUGAUGGAUAUGGAACAGUGCAGGAGAGCUCCACAGAUGAGGAGGUAUCGUCUCUAGUUCUCCAGUGCACUGCAGGUGGCCGCACCUCUUUGGACUCUGCACAGCAGCAGCCACUUUCCCCACGGGACACCCAGUCGGAUGGAGGAAGCUCCCCGUUUACUGAGGAGAUGAUGGGCUCACGCUGGGCGGGAGUGGAAGAGUCCUGCUCAUUUGUAGCAAGCCCUCACUUCUCUAUAGAGUCACGUGUGCAGAUGAUGCAAUAUAUUCAGAAGAUAGAGGAUGACCUUGAAAAGUUAAAGGAGGUUGAGGAAGACUACACCAUUCUCCGACGCCAAGGGCUGGCUGGAUCAGCCUCCAUGGGAGAGCACUCAGACAAGAGCUAGUCAUGUUUCCAGGAGCGGCCGAAGAUUGGAUGAAGAGUAUCAGGACACAGCACCCACUGUCUUCCUUGUGGACUCUGAGACAAGAGAGUUUGGACCAUCCGAACGUGAACCAUACUCUAGCAAAGUGGGCACGGGGUGCUUUUCCUUUGGGGCAUCUGCACUAUCUUGUCAGUGAGGGAGUCUAUUCUAUUCUGCUCCUCUCCUUGCUACCAGAAAUUCAUUUUUCAGAACGGAAGAACCAAACCAAAUGUACAGAGCUUUGGGUGUAGGAUAUAAAAAUGUAUUUAGACAUUUAAAAAAAAAAAUCAAUGUAUUUAUUUGACUUCAUUCCGUGUAUCAAAAGCACAUUUUAAUUUUUUAAUCUGCCUUUUUUGUUCUAUUUUAAUUGGGUAGUGACAGUUCUAGCCCUCUGCAUAUAGUACACCCUGCCUGCCACUGCUCCUGAACCAAAGGUCAGGUCAGAGGGGAGAGGGUGCGCCUAUGUGCAAGUGUACCUUUUCUUCACUGGACUGGACUCUGCACUCCCUGCUGGCAAUCAAACUGCCAUGCGAAGAGCUACUUAUGAAGGUGUUAGGAAGACUUGUGGCUGGAACUAUCUGUAUUCAACAGUUGCAUGGGAACUGCUCAUGACACCACAUGUCUAACAAGAACUUUCCAUGCACUAAAUAGCCAGGCACUUCAGCACAUCUACUGUAUGGCAGACCUCAGGCCACGUCUUGCUGCGUGGAAGGAGCUGGAACUCAAAUGCACUAUUCAGGAUUCUCACUUUUUUUCUCCCUGUUUAAGCCAUAAGAUCACCCCUUUUUAAAAUUCCAGUUUCCAGUGUAAGGAAGCAUUUUAAUUUUCCCCUGGUUGGUGAUUGAUUGUACAUUCCCUUAUUCAAACUGGAUAGCAGAGCAGGACAACGUUCUCUGGUUUGUUUGCCCCACCAGCCCCUCCUCCCCAAUGUUUUGUUGGGGCUUGUUUAUUGUUUGUUUUUUUUUUUUUUUCCCCCUCAAAUGCAAGAUGAGCAAGGGCUUCUUAUCUUGGGAGCAAAGAUGUAGUGUAGCAAGCAUUCUUUCAUAUCCUCCUGAGAAGUGAUUUCUCUUCUGCUGUUACGGGACAUAGUUCACAGACAAGCGAAAAAGUCAGAUGGGUACUUUCUGGAAAGGGGAAUUUCCUCCUUCUGUAGAAGGGUAGAAGAGCAAGUGCUAAGCUGGUCUGUGAUCACUCUGGUUUCUUGAACAUGCCUUGACUGUAAGGAGGGGAGAUUUCUUUAACAUCCUAUAGGUGGGAUCAGAAAGACGGAUGAGGAAUGUAAACCUCAAGAGCUAAGGCAUCUAGAUGGUUUUGGUCAGCUUUCAGACAGCACUAUGCCUAUUUCCAGUGUUUUCAUAAAACUUAGAUGUUCUGAUUUAUAGAUACUGUCCCUGUUACUAGAAGGGGGGUCUGAUGCUCCAGCAGCUGGCCCUUGAUUAUAAUCUCAGUGCUUGAUGGUAUCUGGUAUUGUUUUCUCCCUCUGUUCCCCAAAGAAAUCCCUUCAUUCCUUCCCCGUCCCCCAAAGGUGCCAACUGACAAGCAGAUGUACUGCAAAAGGGAUACUGCAGCCAAAACACUGCUGUUUUAUUUUGAAUUAAGUCUUGUGGAGCUCUCUUCAUACUAGAAUAUUUUUAUUUUCUUUGUACAACAUACAAUCAUGUACUCUUAACAGAGAUUUACUUUAAAGAGAAGAAAAAAAAUCUGGAAGUAUUCUUUAAAAAAAUACACAAAAAUCUUUAUUAAUAAUCCUGUAUUUUUACUGAUCAUGUUUGAAUGUCUAAAAAGACUUUAUUGUUCUAAUUAUCCAGAUGUAUGUUUGUAAAAUAGCUCUUUUAUGACUUAGCUGAUAAGGUUGUAUGUUUCUGGAAUUAAAUAUUGGUCACUUAAAAAAAAAAAUCUGUUUUCAGGAUUUGGGAAAUAGAAAAUUUAAGCGUUUCAAAUAUCAUUAAAUAAGCUUA